rnacentral:tRNA from 1 species
AAUGAAAUGCCUGAUUAAAGGAUUAUUUUGAUAGAAUAAAUCAUGUAUUUUUAAAUACUUUCAUUA